AUUACUCCUACGGGAGGCAGCAGUGGGGAAUUUUGGACAAUGGGGGCAACCCUGAUCCAGCAAUGCCGCGUGUGUGAAGAAGGCCUUCGGGUUGUAAAGCACUUUUAUCCGGAACGAAACGUGCGGGGUGAAUAGCCUCGUAAACUGACGGUACCGGAGGAAUAAGCACCGGCUAACUUCGUGCCAGCAGCCGCGGUAAUAAU
rnacentral:rRNA from 1 species